GGAGGGACCCGGGUCCCCGACGGCCGCGGAGGGCAGGGCGGGGGCCGCGCGUUCCCCGGGGCUCCGGCCGCGCCCGUGUCCCGUGUCCCGUGUCCCUGUCCCUGUCCGGGCAGGUGGAGGGGCCGAGGGGUGCGGGCCGUGCCCUCCUUCCCUCUGGGCUCCUUUGGGACGGAUGCGGUCGGCCCCAUCUUUGCGCUUUACGCAACAGGUCACAACAUGAUUGUUGGGAAAAUGGGAUGGCUGCCAGAACACCAGACUGUGAUGGGUGCCAUAUUGCAUUGCACUUCCAGUGGUGGAAUACAACUUGGGUUUCCUCAGGGCUGAUUAACACGGUUCAAACUGGACCACACAGCUGCUUAACAUCCUAGCUGUUGAUUCAUGGUAAUGGUUAAUGGUCUCCUGGGGGAAGUGGAAGAGCCUCAUGCUGAAUUUUUGUGGAUAUGGUGGAACAUGCUGCUGAGACCCAUUUGGAUUACAUCGCCAUCUGACACCAAGGUUCUGCAGCUGAUGAAAGGAGUUCACCAGAUCUUUUUAUGUGGUUGCUGAAGCAUUGUCCUGGGACAGCAGUAAUGACAGAUGGAUGAACAGAACACACUUCAGACUUGAGUCACAGAGAAACAUGAGGAUUUACACUUCUGAAGUCGGUGUGAAUGAGAUUGAAGGAAUUACAUGGAGGAUUCUGACUCCCCUUCUUCCUGCUCCGGGAAAGACGGAGGCCUGCUCUGACAUCACCUCUGGUUAUGAUCCACAUGUGCUACUGAAGCUGGCUGGAAUGGUGUGACACACGGAGUAACCUCAUGAAGCAAGGACAGUGUGCUCUUAUUGCUGCUCAUCAUAGCCUUGCAGGGGGGAAAGGAGUCUGGCAGACCUCUGUGUGAUGUCAUUUACAGGACACUGGAGAUGGUGGAAGAACCAGAACGCUACACUGCUCUUCCAUGGUGUAAACUCCUGCUGAAAAUCAUGAAGAAGAAAAGGAAACUUGAUUUGUAGUUCUGAAUAAAGUGACAUUAAGAGAACUUAUGCUUCCUUGUAACAUGUUACUUAAGAGAUUCUGACAAUGUAUCCAAACCAACUCCAUCUACAAGGAAAAAAAGAAAAUCAUGUCAAGUCUGAUAGUCUUGUGAUGUGUUCCACUAGUUGUGAAUUUCUACAGGAAUUCUUCAAACACAAAAUUAACUAUUAUAAACAGCAAUGGCAUUAUUCAAGAUGUCACAAAUAAGGUAACAGAAGCAUGUCAAAGUGAUACAGUUUGUGCUGAAAUCAAACUAUUCUACAGCAGUUGAAAGUGUUGAGGAUAACCUUGUUCUUCAGAGUUAUAUCAGAAAUUAUUAGUAACAGCAGCUCCAGUAUUUGGCCCACGGUUUUCAGAGUAGUUUGGAAAAGUAUUUUCACACAGUAUGUGCCCAAAUAUUUUUUUUUAAACUGCACUUUAUUUAAGUAAUGUAAAGGUUUGUAGCUAGAGACUACAGCCCAUCCAAAGUAAGCAGCAAUGUUAACUGGAGCAGAAGAAACAAAAACCAGAUAAAACUGCUAGAAUAUUUUCUUUCAUUUGAAUGACAAUGCUUUCUAAGAGUUCCAGCUGAAAGUGAGGGAUCAUACAGUUUGAUUCCAUUUAAAAGCAGAGCACAGUGUAUGGAGAGAACACAGAGGGUACACACAGUAAAGAUUUGGCCUGAGAAAGUUGUAUAAAGGGUUGUGGGAUAAAGGAGAAGGAAUAAAGGUGUUGAUUCUGUUACAAUUAAAAUAAAAUAUUUUGCUUAAAUUUCUCUAAAUUUCUUUUUAUUUGAAAAGGGUGUGAGAAACUUGAUUUUUAUCUGGACUAGCCUAAAGGAGAUGCAUUAUUCCAAUAUGCUUUAAUUUCAGGCUCUGUAAUAUGGUAGUCUACAACAAGAUAAGAAUUGUAACCCAGAAACAGCAAAUGUUCCCCUGACAAACAUCUCCAAAGUUUUUUACUGACACCAUGGAACACUUGUCUUAAGCAGGAAAUUUAGCUUCUCAGAAUAAUAUCUGUGGUGAUGGACAGUAACAUUUAUAUGCACAAAAUGGAUAAUUCCCCACUUAGGAUGAAUUUAGAGAUAGUGGGUUUAGCUUCUUUGAAUUCAAAUGAUUUGCACAUGGUUGUGUCAUGUGUGAUCUCCUCAGCUUUUCAAAGUUAGGUUGCUAAAGAUACACUGAAGCAAAUAUUUUGGAAACAUGCUUCCUAAUCAUAGAAUUCCUUUUUCACUACAGAUGUGGCUUUGAUAAAUUAUUUACUUACCUGCUCUCAAACAUAUUUACACUUAAACCUUUCUUUGUUCAGUUUGUGCCCAAACUGCACAUCCUUGGUACCAGCUUCUGCAGAAAGUCUGAGGAAAAUAUCAGCUGCAUUCUGUGCAGCUCUGAAAGAUGAAACAACAUGAAGGAAACAAGCAUAAGACUUGAUUUUCUUAUCUGCUUUUAUUUUGUGAGUAUUCACUGCAUUAGAAUAUCGUCACAAGCAACCCUCCUGCAGUUAUCAAAUGUCUCAGCUUUGUUUCAGUGCUUAUCCAGCUGUAAAAGAUGUUUUAUUACCUUAUAUAUUCUUCCACCAUUUAAGUAAAUCACUUCAGUGUUGCAUUAUAGAUGACUGUAAAAAGGAGAUUUUUUUUUUUUUCUCUUCAAUUUCAGCAACCAGUGGCCAGGUAUGCACAAAACCCAGAACGUUUGGAGCAAGCAGCAACCUGUCCUGCAGUAAUUUGAGGGAGAGGGGGGUAUGUACUCAUUACCCCAUGAGUAAUUCAGCAACACACGUGCCCUGCUGCUGAGGAGCAGCUGGCUGCUGUGUGCUAUCAGAGCUGCUUGCCAGCAGGCACGGCUCAUUAAGAGCCUAGUUGCAGGAUAUAACAUCUUUGCAGUCAAUUAACAAUGCUGCUCUUUAAAAAGGCCCAGAUCCUUCCUGAUUCAGCAGAGCACUUCAAUGUAUGCUCAAAGUUAAAUGCUUGAUUAAAGUUUCGUGUAAGGAAGAUGUGAGGGCUUGUGCUUGAGGUUAAAUAGGAAGGCACAUUCCCAAAUCAGGGCCUGACAUGCUAUGGUUUUUAGAGGUUUCCAGGAAUUUAGAAUAUCCUUAAAUACUGACUAUGCUCAUUUCCAAGCUGAGUAAGACCUACAACUGAAAAACAAAACCACACCACGUGACUGUGAAGCAUGCAGGAAAACCUUUUAAAAUCUCUAUCUGGUCAUCAUUGAUGCUUGUCAAGGAAAUGCUAGCAGACUGUUUGCAUUUCUGUAAUUUUAAAAUAAAUUUAAGAAAUUACAUAAACCUUGUCAUCUGGAUAUGGGGAAAAAUUAUAUUUGGUAAAAUGAAUUUAUUCUUUGAAGAAAGAAACAAUGAGAGUAAUUGAAUUGUUAUGCACUUCCUGACUGUAGUACUUCUCACUGGAUGGGGUUGUAUUUUGUAGCCUGCUUUCUGUGGUCAAGUAAAGGAAUGAGUACUAGGAAGACCAAAAUUUGAGCUUUUGCCUUAUCAUUUUAUGCAACAAUGUCUACCACUUUCCCAUGCUUAGAUUCUCUUGUAUGACAUCUGCUCAGUUAUUGCAAUAUCCUGCUGAUAACUCAUUGCAGUAAUAGGCAAAUGUCUUUGCUCUAGUUCAGUGGGUCAACAGCAUAAUCAAAGAUAAUCUCUCACUGAUUGUGAGUUAUAUAUUAAUACAACCACUUUGCUCCUUGUGGAUUGGGUCUAAGCACCUGGGACAUGAUAUUUUCUGUAAUAGUAUGUUGAAUUGCCAGAGCUCACUGCUUCAUCUUUUGCAAUGUCUCAUCUUCUUAUAUCCCCACUAAUAAAAUGCAAAGUUCCAGCUGACUGCAAUAAGUGUAGAUUUAAACCUCAAAUAAUUUUUAAAACAACUUAUGAUUUCUGGUGAAACAUCCUAUGAAUGUGGAUUGCUCCAUACUUCCUCUUAUUGACUUUGUCCAGUUAGAGAACAAUUGAAAUA